UAGGAUUCCCUCAGUAGCUGCGAGCGAACAGGGAAGAGCCCAGCACCGAAUCCCGCGGCCGAUACCGGGCGCCGGGAAAUGUGGUGUUAGGGAGGUUCCGUUAUCCCGAGAUCGUCCGGCGCGUCCAAGUCCUUCUUGAACGGGGCCACAGCCCAUAGAGGGUGCCAGGCCCGUAGCGACCGCCGUCGAUCGCGGGAGGGAUCUCCUCAGAGUCGGGUUGCUUGAGAGUGCAGCCCUAAGCGGGUGGUAAACUCCAUCUAAGGCUAAAUAUGACCACGAGACCGAUAGCGAACAAGUACCGUGAGGGAAAGUUGAAAAGCACUUUGAAGAGAGAGUUCAAUAGUACGUGAAACCGUUUAGGGGUAAACCUGAGAAACCCGAAAGGUCGAAGGGAGAAAUUCAUUCGCGUUUCGGAGUCGGCGCGAGACGUUCGCGCGACGGGGAGGACGGUUACCCGUUACCUUUUCCGCGCCUUACGUUUUUCGACCCGGCAUCGAACGCGUGCACUUUUCUCCUGGUAGGACGUCGCGAUCCGUCGGGCGUCGGUCUAAGGUCCGCGGCGGAGCCCGCGCGGUUUUCUCGAAUCGCGCGGACCCGCGGUAUCCUGACCGACUCGCUCGACGGUACGAGAAAGGUCACGGGUCGCUUUAAAAGCGUUCGACUCGCGGCAAGCGCUCCGGAUACUAGUCGGCUAUCGGACCCGGUGCCGGUACCGACCUCCGGUGACUGUUGGCCUCGAAGUUCUCGAACCGACCCUCGCUCGUAAAAAAGCGUGACCGAUCUGCGACGCUAUAGCUUUGGGUACUUUCAGGACCCGUCUUGAAACACGGACCAAGGAGUCUAGCAUGUGCGCGAGUCAUUGGGAUUCGCUAAACCUAAAGGCGUAAUGAAAGUAAAGGUUCGUCUCGCGCGAACCGAGGGAGGAUGGGCGAUUCGCCUUUAAAGCGGUCGCCUCGCACUCCCGGGGCGUCUCGUUCUCAUCGCGAGAAGAGGCGCACCAAGAGCGUACACGCUGGGACCCGAAAGAUGGUGAACUAUGCCUGGUCAGGACGAAGUCAGGGGAAACCCUGAUGGAGGUCCGUAGCGAUUCUGACGUGCAAAUCGAUCGUCGGAACUGGGUAUAGGGGCGAAAGACUAAUCGAACCAUCUAGUAGCUGGUUCCCUCCGAAGUUUCCCUCAGGAUAGCUGGCGCUCGUAGCGUACGAGUUUCAUCCGGUAAAGCGAAUGAUUAGAGGCAUUGGGGUCGAAACGACCUCAACCUAUUCUCAAACUUUAAAUGGGUGAGAUCUCCGGCUUGCUCGAACUAUAUAUAUUUAUUUAUAUAUAUGAAGCCGCGAGAGACACGAAUCAGAGUGCCAAGUGGGCCAUUUUUG
rnacentral:rRNA from 1 species